rnacentral:rRNA from 1 species
AGAGUUUGAUCCUGGCUCAGAACGAACGCUGGCGGCAGGCCUAACACAUGCAAGUCGAACGAGAAGCCACCUUCGGGUGGUGGACAGUGGCAGACGGGUGAGUAACGCGUGGGAACGUGCCUUUCGGUUCGGGAUAACCCAGGGAAACUUGGGCUAAUACCGGAUACGCCCUUCGGGGGAAAGAUUCAUUGCCGAAAGAUCGGCCCGCGUCGGAUUAGCUUGUUGGUGGGGUAAUGGCCUACCAAGGCGACGAUCCGUAGCUGGUCUGAGAGGAUGACCAGCCACACUGGGACUGAGACACGGCCCAGACUCCUACGGGAGGCAGCAGUGGGGAAUAUUGGACAAUGGGCGAAAGCCUGAUCCAGCCAUGCCGCGUGGGUGAAGAAGGCCUUAGGGUUGUAAACCCCUUUCAGCGGGGAAGAUAAUGACGGUACCCGCAGAAGA